GACGAACGCUGGCGGCGUGCUUAACACAUGCAAGUCGAACGCUGAAGCUCAGCUUUUGUUGGGUGGAUGAGUGGCGAACGGGUGAGUAACACGUGAGUAACCUGCCCCCUUCUUUGGGAUAACGCCCGGAAACGGGUGCUAAUACUGGAUAUUCACUGGUCUUCGCAUGGGGGUUGGUGGAAAGGGUUUUUCUGGUGGGGGAUGGGCUCGCGGCCUAUCAGCUUGUUGGUGGGGUGAUGGCCUACCAAGGCUUUGACGGGUAGCCGGCCUGAGAGGGUGACCGGUCACAUUGGGACUGAGAUACGGCCCAGACUCCUACGGGAGGCAGCAGUGGGGAAUAUUGCACAAUGGGCGCAAGCCUGAUGCAGCGACGCCGCGUGAGGGAUGGAGGCCUUCGGGUUGUGAACCUCUUUCGCUCAUGGCCAAGCCGCAACAAUGGUUGUGGUGAGGGUAGUGGGUAAAGAAGCGCCGGCUAACUACGUG
rnacentral:rRNA from 1 species